rnacentral:lncRNA from 12 species
UCUGUUUUGGCUUUUAGUGUUUGUAAAACAACUAUGAAGAGUAAGGAAAGAAAAAAACACACCUUUUCUGAUGGACUAUGCUUCACAAUUGUUUAGUGUAGGAGACUUUGAGGAUUAUGGUGUCUACUUUGUAAGCUUACAGAGCUG